rnacentral:rRNA from 1 species
AUUGAACGCUGGCGGCAUGCCUUACACAUGCAAGUCGAACGGUAACGGGCCUUCGGGUGCCGACGAGUGGCGAACGGGUGAGUAAUACAUCGGAACGUGCCCGAUCGUGGGGGAUAACGAGGCGAAAGCUUUGCUAAUACCGCAUACGAUCUACGGAUGAAAGCAGGGGACCGCAAGGCCUUGCGCGGACGGAGCGGCCGAUGGCAGAUUAGGUAGUUGGUGGGAUAAAAGCUUACCAAGCCGACGAUCUGUAGCUGGUCUGAGAGGAUGAUCAGCCACACUGGGACUGAGACACGGCCCAGACUCCUACGGGAGGCAGCAGUGGGGAAUUUUGGACAAUGGGCGCAAGCCUGAUCCAGCCAUGCCGCGUGCAGGAUGAAGGCAUUCGGGUUGUAAACUGCUUUUGUACGGAACGAAAAGCCUUCUUUUAAUACAGGAGGGUCAUGACGGUACCGUAAGAAUAAGCACCGGCUAACUACGUG